GAACGAGAGAGAUCACCAUAAAUGAAACUAUUCUUGAAAGUAAAUGGUAGUGCAGCUGAGAUGAAUAACCUUAAACUAGUGUGUGAAUAAGAGCAUGUCCUGUAUUAGGAUUUAUUUACAAAUAAAUCUGACACGUUAAUUCUAGUUGAUUGACAGCAAGGCUGAAGACAGCAGUGUGAAAACCUCUGACUUGCGGUGGAGCAAUAAAACCUCUGACAGUAGUUCACUCAGUACUUUAAAGUAUGUAUUUAAUCACAAACUACCUAACAUACAACAUGAAAUGUGAAAAGAACAUACCGCUAUAAACACAUAUUCCAAAUAAACCGACGCUCAACGAAGCGACUGAAAAAAACGUCAUGAUUUUUGCACAUGCGCGUUAAAGGGGAAACAGGGGGAACUGAAUUCUCCGUAACACCGGUCUUAAACUGUUCGAGCAGCCUUGGGGAGCAGAUGUCUUUCCGAACCGAGCUGGCGCCUUCACGCCGCCCAUGAUCGUACCGGUGUGCCGAUGCUCGCAGUCUCCUACUGCUGUUCCUGGCUGGUGCAACUGCCCGUCUCCUCUCCUCCAGCUGGACGGCUCCACGUAAACCCUGGCCGGGUCCUGUGAUUGCCGUGGUGCGUCUUGAGCACUUCUGGUGAACCCUGAGCGUUCCCCGGCGCAUGUGGAGCUCGGGCAGCGGCUGAAGCAGACGAGGCGGACCGCGGGGGUCGGGGUGUGACCGAACAGGUCCCACCGGAGAUGAGUGGUCGUCCUCUCCUGAUGCUGUUUCUGGGUGGUUUGGAUGCCUGUGAUGCGCUUCUCUUCUCCUCUUUGCUUUCUGGAGCUGCUGGAGAUUGGGUGACUUCGUGUGAAGUGCUUGCUGGUUCCGGUGGUUGCUGUUAAACCCUGAGUGCUCCUCAGCGGGUGUGUGCUGAUUCUGUUCUCUGCAUAAUGAAGCUUUAUUACAGCCAAAUUAAAGCACUUCAUCAUCUUUCUUUUUCUUGUGUUUGAGUUCCAGGCAGCAAAAUAAAGAGUAAAAUUUG